UACAGAGGUCUCAAGCGUUGUUCGGAUUCAUUGGGCGUAAAGGGUGCGUAGGUGGCGCCGUAAGUCGGGUGUGAAAUUUCGGAGCUUAACUCCGAAACUGCAUUCGAUACUGCGGUGCUUGAGGACUGGAGAGGAGACUGGAAUUCAUGGUGUAGCAGUGAAAUGCGUAGAGAUCAUGAGGAAGACCAGUGGCGAAGGCGGGUCUCUGGGCAUUAACUGACGCUGAGGAGCGAAAGCAUGGGGAGCGAACAGG
rnacentral:rRNA from 1 species